rnacentral:rRNA from 1 species
UACGUAGGUGGCAAGCGUUGUCCGGAUUUACUGGGCGUAAAGAGCGCGCAGGCGGUCAGAUAAGUCGAAUGUGAAAGCCCCCGGCUCAACUGGGGAGGGUCAUUCGAUACUGUUCGACUCGAAGGCAGAAGAGGGGAGUGGAAUUCCCGGUGUAGUGGUGAAAUGCGUAGAUAUCGGGAGGAACACCAGUGGCGAAGGCGACUUCCUGGCCUGUUCUUGACGCUGAGGCGCGAAAGCUAGGGUAGCAAACGGG